GAUGAACGCUAGCUACAGGCUUAACACAUGCAAGUCGAGGGGUAACGAGAGGAAAGCUUGCUUUCCUUGUCGACGACCGGCGCACGGGUGAGUAACGUGUAUCCAACCUGCCCCCAACUAGGGAAUAACCUUGCGAAAGUAAGACUAAUACCCUAUAAUUUCCUCAGAUGUCAUCUGACGAGGACUAAAGAUUUAUCGGUUGUGGAUGGGGAUGCGUCUGAUUAGCUUGUUGGCGGGGUAACGGCCCACCAAGGCAACGAUCAGUAGGGGUUCUGAGAGGAAGGUCCCCCGCAUUGGAACUGAGACACGGUCCAAACUCCUACGGGAGGCAGCAGUGAGGAAUAUUGGUCAAUGGGCGGAAGCCUGAACCAGCCAAGUAGCGUGCAGGAUGACGGCCCUAUGGGUUGUAAACUGCUUUUAUACAGGAAUAAAGUUAGCCACGUGUGGUUAUUUGUAGGUACUGUAUGAAUAAGGACCGGCUAAUUCCGUGCCAACAGCCGCCGUAA
rnacentral:rRNA from 1 species